UUUCUUUCUCUCCGGGGGACAAGAGCUUCCUAACCGUAGGUCUCUCUCCAUUUGUUAUUCUUUCCGGGACAUUUUGUAGCUCUCUAACUCCUUUUAUAGGGUACUUAGCAAACAAAAGCAAUCAGAAUUACAUAAAAUAUUUAAAAAAAUUCUGUCUUUUCUUGACACCUCAUUUGUCUCAAUUUUCAGAUAUUGGUAAUAUUUUUGGGACAUUUUUAAUUUUAAAAUUUUUAUUUGGAAUGAAAUUUGUUUGAUACCUGUGGCUUAAUUUUUUUCUCCAUUUUAUAUAUUUUGCCCAUCGGGGCCGUGGAUACCUGCUUUAAAUUUAUUUGCCCAUCGGGGCUGCGGAUACCUGCCUUUUUUCUUUUUUUCCUCUUAGCCCAUCGGGGCCUGGAUACCUGCUGGUACACUAACCCUCCAUUUUCUGGCCCAUCGGGGCAAUGGAUACCUGCUUUUUUUUUUUUUUUUUUUAAUUAUGUGUGUGUUUGUUUGUUUGUUUUGGCCCACCGGGGCCCUGGAUACCUGCUUUAUUAUUUUUUUCAUUGCCCAUCGGGGCCUCGGAUACCUGCCCUAAUUUUUUUUUUUUGCCCAUCGGGGCCUUGGAUACCUGCUUUAACUUCUUUGAUUUCUUGUAGAAGCUCUUUAUGUAUGGAAAUAUGUCGUUUUCGUGGGUUAUUGUGUUAUCUGGAAUGUCAGCAUUUUUUGGUUGCUGUUUGUUGUGUGUGGUGUGUGAGUUUUAUCUAUGGCUUAGUCAAGGGAAUGACUUUGCAUUUAAGAGGGUGUUGGGCUGUGGAGAAAAAGUGGCCGCCAUUUUAGGUUCGCCGCUGAGUGCUAGUUAGUUGUGCUAUGUAUAAAUUAGGGAGGUGAAGUGGAUAGUGAGCCAGGCGAGGUAGUCAUUUGUGUUACAUGACGGUUUUGCAUGAGUAGGUUUGGAAUUUUUUGGAGCUUUGCAUAAAUUGUGGUAUCUGAGGCAGAAAACCAAGAUCGUGUUCUGUAUCAGUACUUACUGUUAGGUGAAAACGGCAGAGAGCUGAUUUAAGAGAAGGGCUCAAAAUGGCGGUUUGGACCUUGCGGCAUGCUCAGCAUGGCUCUCUGUGCUUUGUUGAUUGCACAAAAUGGCGGAUCCAGUACUCCAAAAUUUCAAGUGGCGGGAAGGCCACAUUCCGAUGCGUCAGGCUUUGUUUUAAUGUACAGGAAGGUGGCGGAUAAUUUUGGUCACGUAAUAAGAGGAUGGCGGCCGAAGUGCUUGCUGUAGUGUAAAAUAUGGCGGGUUUUCUUUGUUUUUGACACGUUGAUUUCAUGGUGAAUUUUGCUUCAGGGCAAUGUGGCGCACGUUGUGAAUGUUCAUAAGAUGGCGCCUCCUCACGUGGGUAACAUGGCAGGUUUUGGUUGGUACGCUCUUGGCGGGUUUUGCACAAGGUGCAUCUGCCCCAUUGUUAAAGAUGGCGGACGUUACCGCCUAGGUCACCCCAUUUUGCCUUGGUAAUGGUGGAUUGCUGUGUGUUUUAACCAAUCAGAAGUGAGAGUGGAACUGGACCUGGCCAAUUGGAACAGAACAUAGAAUUAAAACUGUUGAUGACAGUACCUUGUGAGGAUUUGAGUGAGCCAACAUGGCUCCUCACAAGUUUCCAUAUUCAGCCAUUCAGAAGUGGAAAGGCCACAUUUUAUACCCCUCCUAGUGGAUCACACCCAAGACCCUUCCAACGACAUUUAUCCUUUACAUCUCCCUUCCCUCAAGUUUGAACUCUCAUUUCUAGCAGAGCUUCUUGGAAUCCUAUCCUAUAGGCUAAACCUCACCCAAUUCUCUGUAUUGGUGCCUUGACCUAAAGCUCCUUCCUGGUCUCUGGUCUAACAUGCAUGUGGCCAUGGGCAGUGUUCAAGACCUUCCUGAUCUGGACAUGGUGGUAAUCCAUGGCAGAGACCAUAAAUGGAUCUCUGAUAAUGACUGGCCAAUGGGGGGCAAAAGAGGAACCCCUGCUUUCCUCAAGAGGAAUGCUAAACCCAUGGCUAAUGCUAGAGUUGGAUUAUGAUUUAUAUUAAUUGUUUGGCUAUCCAUCAAGUAUCAGGUUGUUUGGUUUGCUUAGUGUUUGAAUUUAAAUCUUAAGGAGCUAUAGGGGCUGGGGAUUUAGCUCAGCGGCAUAAGCACCUGCCUUGCAAGCAGGCGGUCGUGAGUUCGAUCCCCGGUACCGAUAAAAAUGAAAAAGCCAAAAAAAAAGGAGCUAUUACAGAAAUGGAUUAGCAGCUUUAUUUAUAGAAUUCACUUACUUGCCAUUAACGAGUUUUAAUUUCAGAUUCUUUAACUUCAGUUUCAUUUCAUAAAUCUCUUUAUAUUGGCAGUAUAUAGUCAAAGUCAUUAUUUGGCAUUUAAAAUUUUUUGCUGGUUAUUUUUUUAAAAAUUGGCUUGACAAUGUAUUUCUCUUUAAAUUUUAGAAGCAUUUUGUAGCACAGAAAUAGUAAAUAAAACAUUUAACUUAAUGACUGAGUGUAAAAGAAUAUCUGAAGGUUAACACCAGCCCAGGCUUUGCUUUGUUGGCCCCAUCCUUGAUACUGCACUAAUUGACUAAUGACCUGCCUGUUAGGCAUUAAGCAUGAAUUGCUGUGGUCUGAUGUUCUCCAAUUUAUUAUAUUGGAGUAUUAAUAACCUUAUUUAAAUUUUCAGUGAUUUCAUGCCUUUCUAGCACCCAGCUCCUCCCCAGCCCUGAUCCCAGCAAUUGCCCCGUCCCAAACCCCCUAGGUAUGCCCAUCCCCCUGCCCCUGCCGCUGCCCCUUCCCCAUGCCCCAGCCCCAGCCCCAGCCCCAGCCCCAGCCCCAGCCCCAGCCCCAGCCCUGGGUCCAGCUCCCUCUCCCCAUGGCUGCUUCUAUUUCUAGAGUUAUUCCAAUCUUCAUUGAUUCAGAGACCAAAAUAAAUUGUCCAUUGCUCACCUUGUUAGACCGAGAUAUCCUAUCUGCCUGUAGCUUUGGAAUCUCCAGUGCUGACUGCCCAAGACACCACUUUCAGGUAAUGCGUACAUGAUAUCCAUGGCCUUAUGUUAUAACAAAGAAUUCUCAAUAUGUUAAUGCUAGAAAAUGUUAAUCAAGAUCUUCUAUCAAAGAAGUACUAAAAGUACAGUCCAUAAUAUGACUCAUCAUCUUUUCAGUCCUUUGUCAUUAAGGUAGGAGAAACCAUUCUUUUGUCAUUGCUGCAACAGUCUCAAUUUUUUGAAUAGUGCUCAAUGAUCUAUUCUCAUGAACUGUGUUGACCACCUAAAACUUUGUACUGAGUGUGUGUUUAAUCGUCCAUACUUUGUGCACUGGAUUAGAACCCAGUGCAAACCCCUUUUAGAUUCAACAGAAAGCCUUACACAACCCAAUCUUCUGCUGGACAGUUAAUAUACUUAGUUCCAAUUGUCAGAGCCUUGUCUAUUAAACAAAGGCACCCAAGUACCCUUUUUGCUUUGCUGUGCUUUGGAGAGUCCUGCUGUUCUUUUUUUCUUUUUUUUAAUUUUAUUUAAAAGGAAAAAGAGAAAAACACAAAACAAAACAAAGUGGUGUAAGGGUACACGUAAUACAGAACAAAAAAAAAAAAAAAAAAAAAAAAAAGAACAGCAGGAAACUCCAGGAAGCUGUUCUUGAUAAAGUACAAAACAGUAAUUUCAUUGACUCAUUAAUCACAAAGAUCUCCAAUCCCCCUUUGCACUUGCUUUGAGUCAGUGCUAACUCCCUGAGACCUGUUUCUUAAAUUAUUGGAUAAUAUUUCUUUUCACCUUGUUUACACAACCAUAAGAGUGCCUAUUUAAUUUUCUUUGAGAUAUUAAUGUAUACAAUCAUAACUGUCUGCCUAACAAAAGAAUCACUAUAAAUAAUAAAUUUAUUAAUAUAUGCAUAAUCCUAAUUGAGUAGAAUGGAACUUUUAUGUAAGGAUCUCUAUACCAUCUCUACUUUGUACCAAGAGAUUGCUAAUUACCUAAGGCACCUUCUCCUGAAAUUGCUUUAUAAAAUUUCACUUGUCUUAAAUUUUGGUUAGUCUGGAAACCCAUACUCUUAGGCUCUUUAUUGCAUUGUUGGCACUGUUAAAUUUGCAUUAUUACAAUUGUAGUUCAUUCUAUUAAGAUCUCACGGGGGUACACCUUAUUAACAUUACAGUUGAGCAUUAUAGUUGAGGGUGGUGAGCACUAAGACUCCUUUUGUACCAUUAAUGUGCAUAAUUGCAUUUGGCCGCCUUCUGAGUCCUGAUAUCCUUAGUCUUACUUUGUCUGGUACUGAGCAGUAGAUAAUCUCUACUCCAGACUUCUACAUAGGAUACUUAACGUGAAUCAUUUGGCCAAAUUAUUACAGCAAGGGGUGUUAAUCAGCUACAUCAUUACCUUCUUGGGGCUAUGAAUGCGUAAAAUUUCAAUAUUCAUAGUUCCUCUUUUUAAAAAAGUAAUAAUAAUAAUAAUAUCCCACCCUUUUUGUAUUAAAGCAAGUAAUGCUAACAACCCAAAGUCCUUCUCGGGAUUCUUAGGUAUUUUCAGUUGUCUAUAAUUCCAUCCAAUAAGUCAAUAUCCUGAUUUUUCUGAUUAUAGAAAGGCAUAGCACUUACCUGAAUUCCUUCUGUCGACUGAGUUGUUGAGAAAAGUUGUCCUAUCCAGCCCUCUAUACUUCUUUGCAUAACAGCAGGAGGCACUUCUUCAGCGCUGAAAUGCACUUGAUUAGAAGCAGUUUAAGCCCUUUUAUAUUAGAGUAAAAACCCCAUUUCCUAUCUCUAUUUGCAUUACCACAAAGACUUUUCACUAGUUAAGAUUCACACUCCGACCGUGCAUAUUUAAAUUUACUCCAGUUGUGUCAACCAAUUGAGAACCUCAUUGCUCUAUUUAUAUUCCAGCAGGAAGAGGCUACUACUUCAGACUUUUAAAUUAGUAAGGUCAAUGUGCACAAUCUUAGUUUUUCUGUACAAGCUCUGAAUUGUCCAAAAUUGUGCCUUUUAGGUCAGAACUCUAGUAUUUAUCAAAGCGCAGAAAGCUAACUAACAUAAAGCCCUGCUCUUAAGACUCUAAAUAGUACAUAAUUGCAGUCCUCACUGGUCCUUCAAGCUCGACUUUUGCCCUUGACCCCUUUUAUAUCUUCUUAAACUCACUGUGUGAGGUGGUAUUUGCCUAAUGCUCUUUUCUUCAGCUUUUUAUGUGCAUAAUGGCAGUUAAGGUCUUUCCCUUUGAUGCUUUGUUUGAAGUACAGCAGGGUGUCCUACAUCCCCAUUUUGGAGCCUGGGAGUGUAUUUGUAUGGAAUUCUUUGCAUUAGGAAAGGAACCCACCUCCCAUCCGCCUGCCUUUUCCUUCCAGCAGGAACUGCCCACUAGGAAAGACCUUUACAUUUGAAAAUUUGGGUUCCGCAUUGUAAUGAUAACCAUACACCUUGAAUACUAGUAUUCAUGACUUCACAUGGCUCAUCAUUUGAAUAAGAUUCUGCCCUAACACUCACUUUACAUUACAGCAGUGGUGCUUAUUAAUAGGACUUCUGUUAUUGGCCUAUUAUACAGGUGAUUUUAUUUAUUUAGGUUCCUGUAUAUUAGACAAGGAACUACCCCAAAGCCUACCCUGUCUAUCUCCUUUCCUUUGCAAGUGGUUAUGCUAUAAAACCAUUGCAGUUACACAGCUAAAUUAUACAGCUGUACUGACUGUGUCUAUGCACCUUGAAUACUAAUGUAUAUAGCUCAUUCCAUUUGAAUGAGAUCCUCCACUCAGCUCCUUUUGCAUUGCAGCAGGGAUGCUGAUCACUAAGGUUCCUAUUUCUUGGUUUCUUAUAUGAGUAAUUAUCUUUGUCUGAAUUUCUAUGUACUAGACAAGGAACCUUUCCUUCAGCACAUCGCUUGCCCUCAGUCUCCCCUGUUUGUCUUCCUUUCCUGACCAACAGGGACUUCCUAUUCCAUAAGAACUUUAAAAUUGCACAUUCAGAGUGCACAGUUGUAAUAACCACAACCACGCACAUGGAAUGUUAAUGUGCAUACUUGCACAUGAAUCACUAUUUGAAUAAGAUCCUAUUUUUAUCUGCUUUUUUAAUACAGGAGGGGUGCUGAUCACUAAGGCUACUAUUUUUGUCCUGUUAUGUGGUGAUUGACUUCUUAUGUUCUAGACAACCCCAGCCCAAACCCUACCUUCCUUUCUGUGUCUUCAUUCAUUCCCUUCUAGCAUCGAAUCCCUAAGUCAAUGUGACCCUUGUACUUGAAAAGUCAGGGUGAAUAAUUGUAAUGACUACAACCCUGAACCUUGAUAUGAAUGUACCUUACUACACAGGACUCAUUUCAUUGGAAUAAGAUCCUACUCUCAGCCUAUUUUGCAGUACACCAGGGGUACUGAUCACUAAGGCCCUAGCCUUGGUCUUAUAUAUUGGUGAUAAUAUUUGUCUGGGUUCCUAUGUACUAAUGAAGAAAACUUCCCACCCUCCAACUCUGCCUUGUCCUCCCCUUUCACUCUUCCUUUCCCUUUCAAUAGGGACUGCCCAUACAUAAAACCCUUAUAGUGAACAGACACCUCAAGGGGCACAAUUAUAAUGAUCAAAGCCAUGCACCUUGAAUACUAAUGUACAUUAUUGCACAUGGCUCAUCUCAUUGGAAUAAGAACCUAGUCUCAACACCUUUUGUAGUACAGCAUGGGUGCUGAUAACUGUGUCCCUAAUCUUGGCCUCUUAUGUGGGAGACUGUUUGUCUGAGUUCCUAUGUGCUAGACAAAGGACUUUCCCCACAACCCUACUUUGCUCUCCCUUAUCUAACUUGCUUUGCCUUAGAACAGGGAGUGCCCACUGGUAAGUCUCUUGUAUUUGACCCAUCAAAGGGCACAAAUAUAAUGAUCAAAAUCAUGCACCUUAAAUUGUAACGUGCAUGACUGCACAUGGCUCAUCUCAUUGGAAUGAAAUCCUACUGGCAGAAUUUCUGCAGUAUAGCAGAGGUGCUGAUCGGGAAGGCCCUUAAUCUUAGCUAGUUAUAUGGGUGAUUGUGUUUGUCUGAGUUCCUGUGUACUAGACAAACAAACUGUCAAACACGUCAUACACCUCUGUAUCCCACCCUCCCCUCUCCUAUCCAUCUUCCAUUCCUUUCCAACAGGGACCACCCACAAUAAGACCCUAACAUUUAACCCAUCAAGGUGCACAGCUAUAAUGACCAGAAGCAUGCAUCAUGAAUGCUAAUGUGUAUAACUGCACUUAGCCCCCUUUGCAGUACAAACAGGAGUACUGAUUACUAAGGCCGUAACCUUGGCCUGUUAUAUGGAUGAGUAUGAUUGUGUUGAGUUCCUGUGUACUAGACAAGUAACCUUCCCACCCUCAACCCUUCUCUGCCCUCCCUUAUCUAUCUUCCUUUCCAACAGGGACUGCCCACUCAUAAAACCCCUUACAUUUGAUGCGUCAAGGUGCAUAGUUGUAAUGACCAACCAAAACCAUGUACCUUGAUUACCAAUAUAUAUAACUGUACAUGGCUUACCUCAUUGUAAUAAAAUCCUAUUCUUAGCCCCUUUAGCAGUGCAGCAAAGCUACUGAUCACUAACGCCCUAAACUUCGCCUGUCAUAUAGGUAACUCUGAGUUCCUGUGUACCAGUCAAGGAAUUCUCGCACUGCCUAACCCUGUCCUGCCCUCCUCUAUCUCUUUUCCUUUCCCUUCAAAUGGGACAGCACAAUCAUAAGACCCUUACACUUGACCCAUCAAGGUACACAACUGUAAUGACCAAAACCAUGUACCUUGAAUAUUAAUGUGCAUAACUGCACAUGGCUCAUCUUACUGGAAUAAGAUCCUAUCAGUCCCUUUUGGAGUACAGCAAGGAUACUGAUCGUUAUGGCCCUUAUCUUGGCCUAUGUUUGUCUGGGUUCCUGUGUACUAGUCAAGGAGCCUUCCCACCUACCAAUCUUGCCUUGCCCUAUCUAUCUUUGUUUCCCUUAGUACAGGGACUGUGCCUACAGGUAAGACCCUUACACAUAGCCCAUCAAGGUGCACAACUGUAAUGAACAAAACCAUGCACCAUGAAUACUAAAGUGCAUUACUGCACAAGGCUUAUGUCAUUUGAAUAAGAAUACUAAAGUGCAUUACUGCACAAGGCUUAUGUCAUUUGAAUAAGAACCUAUUAACAGUCCCUUUUUUUUUUUGCAAUACAGCAGGGUUACUGAUCACUAUGGACCUAAUUUUGGCCUUAUAUUAUAUGGGUCCUUGCGUUUGUCUGAAUUUAUAAGUACUAGAUAAGGAACCUGCCUUAUCAGCCUUGCCCUGCUCUGUCUCAUGAAACUUCCUUUCCCUUCCAACAGGGACUGGUCACUCAUAAGACUCUUGUACUUGUCCACAUUGAGGAGCACAACUGUUAAGACCAUAACCAUAUACCUUAAAUGCUAAUAUGCAUAACUGAUUGUGACUCAUCUCAUUGGAAUAAGAUCCAACUGUCAGAAUUUAUGCAGUAUAGCAAAGGUGCUAAUCAUGAAGGCCCCUAAUUGUGGCCUGUUACGUAUGUGAGUGUGUUUAAGUUCCUGUGUACUAGACAAGGAACCUUCCUCAACCUCCAAGCCUGCCUUGCUUGCCCUUCCCAUCCAUCUUUCUUUCCUUUCUAGCAGGGACUGCCCAAUCAUAAGACCUUUACGCUUAACCCAUCAAGGUACACAACUGUAAUGACCCAAACCAUGGAACUUGAAUACUAAUGUGCAUAACUGGACAUGCCUUGUGUCAUUGGAAUAAGAACUUGUUCUCAGCCACUUUUGCAGUACAGCAGAGGUACCAAUCACUAAGGCCCCUAAUCCUAGUCUAUUAUGUGGGUGAUUGUGUUUGUCUGAGUUCCUGUGUACUAGACAAGGAACCAUCAUUUCCAACCCCAACCUGCUCUCCCUCAUCAAUUUCCUUUCCCUUCCAAGAGGGUCAGCCCACUCCUAAGACCUUUAUACUUAACCCAUCAAGGGGCACACCUUUGCUAAUGUAUGCUAAUGUAUGUAACCGCAUGUGGUUCCUCUGAUUGGAAUUAGAUCCUAUUCACAGUCCCCUUGGCAGUAUAGCAGAGGAAUUAAUGACUAUGGCUCUGAUCUUGGCCUGUUAUAUGGUUGAUUGUGUUUGUCUGAGUUCCUAAGUACUAGACAAAGAAUCUUCCCACUCUCUAACCCUGCUCUUCCCUCCCCAUCUCUCCCCUCCCCCAUCCAUCUUUCUUUCUUUCUUUUCUAACAGGGACUGCCCACUCAUAAGACCUUUAUACUUAUCAAGGGGCACAACUGUAAGGACCAAGACUAUGCACCUUAAAUGGUAACAUGCGUAGCUGCAUGUGGUUCAUAUUACUGCUAUAAGAUACUAUUUUUAGCCCUUUUGCAGUACAGCAGGGGUACUGAUAACUAAGGCUCCUAAUCUUGGCCUUUUACAUGGGUGACUGUGUCUGAGUUUUUGUGUACUAGAUGAGGAACCUCCCCACCCCCCAACCCUGUCCUGCACUCCUUUAUCCAUCUUCCUUUUCUAACAGGGGCUACCCAUGCAUAGGACCUUUAUGCUUGAUCCAUCAGGGUGCACAAUUGUAAUGACCCAAACCGUGUACCUUGAAUACUAAUGUGCAUAACUUAACAUGCCUUAUAUCACUGGGAUAAGAUCCUGUGCUCUGCCCCUCUUGCAGUGCAGCAGGGGUACUGAUCUCUGAGGCCCUAAUCUUGGCCUAUUAAAUGGGUCAUUGUGUUUGUCUGAGUUCCUUAAUACUAGAGAAAGAAGCUUUUAUACCAACCCCUCUUUGCUCUGUCUCAUCCAACCUUCUUUCCCUUCUAACAGGGACUGCCCACUCGUAAGACCUUUCCACUUAACCCAUCAAGGGGUACAAACAAAUGGAAGGACCAAAGCCAUAAACCCUGUAUGCUAAUGUGUGUAACUGCACAAAGUCAUCUCACUGGAAGAAUAUCCUGUUCUCAGCCCCUUUUGCAAUACAGCAGGGGUACUAAUCACUAAGGCCUCUAAUCUUGGCCUGUUAUGUAGAUAAUAGACAAGGAACCUUCCCACCCCCAAACCGUACCCUUCCCUCCCCUGUCCAUCUUCCUUCAUUUCUAACAGACACUGCCCAGUCUUACGACUUGUAUACUUAAUCUAUCAAGGUGCACAAUGGUAAUGAUCCAAACUACGCACCUUGAAUGUUAAUAUAUGAUAAUGUGCGUAACUGCACAUGGCUCAUCUCUUUGGAAUAAGAUGCUAUUGUCAUCCCCUUUUGCAGUACUGCAGGGAUGCUGAUCACCACGGCCCCUAAUCAUGGCCUGUUACAUGGGUGAUUGUGUUUGAGUUCCUGUGUACUAGACAAGGAACCUAGCCACCCCCCAAACCUGCCCUGCACUCCCCUAUGUAUCUUCCUUUUCUAACAGGGGCUACCCAUGCAUAGGACCUUUAUGUUUGAUCCAUCAGGGUGCACAAUUGUAAUGACCCAAACCGUGUACCUUGAAUACUAAUGCACAUAACUGGCCAUGCCUCAUGUAUUUGGAGAAAGAAAGUAUUAGUUCCUUUUACAGUACAGCUAAGGUACUGAUCACUUGGCUCUAAUCUUGGCCUGUUAGUAUGGGUCAUUAUGUUUGUCUGAGUUCCUGUGUGCUACACAAGGAAUUGUCCCUCUAGGCCUCAUUUGAAUAAAGUCCUACUGUCAGCCCUGUUUGUCAGAUAGCAGGGUUAAGGAUUAUAAACCUGUAUGUAGUAUUGGCCUGUUUUAUGGGUGAUUGGGUCUGUCUCAGUUCCUGUAUAGUAGACCCUCUCCCCAACUCUUCUGUUCCUUCCUUUAUCCAACUUUCUUUCUCUUUCAAAAGGGAUUCCUUACUCCAUAAGACUCUUACAGUUGGCCAGUAAAAGAGCACAAUAGUAAGCACUAAAAUCAUGUGUCUUGAAUACUCAUGUGCAUGACUAUAUGUGGAUCAUCUUAUUUGAAUGAGAUCCUGUUUUUAGCCCGUUGUUGCCAUAUAACACGGGUGCUGACUACUGAAAUCUUUAUUUUUGGCCUUUUAUGUUGGUGAUUAUAUUUUUCUGAGUUUCUGUGCAUCAGACAGGAACAUUCCUUCAUAACUCUUUCCUGCCUUCUCCCAUCCAACUUCCCUUCCCUUUUACUGGGAUCUGUCUAUUCCAUAAGACCUUUAUACUUUGCCAGUCAAUGUGCAUAAUUAUAACGAUCAAAGUCAAGCACCUGGCACACUUAACUUUUGUAAUUGCAUGUAAUUUGUAAUAAGAUCUUACUCUCAGCCCCUGCUGGAAUACAGCAGAUGUAUUGAUUGUUUGCUAAGGUUGCUGAUCUUGGCCUAUUGUAUGUUGAUUAUGUUUGUCUGAAUUCCUGUGUAUCAGACAAGAAACUUUCCUCCUCAGCCCUGCUCUCUCUUCCCCCGCUUCAGCUAAUGUUCUCUUCUAGCAGGGAUUACUGCGUUACAGUUGAACAGGCAAAAUGUAUAAUUGUAAUAACCACAACUGUGCAUGUUGUUUCCUCAUGUGCCUUACAGCCUGUGGUUUAUCCCAUUUGAAAACGAGCCUACUUUCACCCUCCUGAUACGCCAGGCGUGCUGAUUAUUAAGGGCAUUAAUCUUGGCCCAUUAUAUCAGUGAUUAUAUUUGUCAGAGUUCCUAUGUACUAAAUAAGGAACUUUUGCCUCCCCCAUCCAACUUCCUUUCCCUUCCAGCAAAAACUGCUUAUAUGAAACCCUUACAAUGAAUAGUAAAGGUGCACAGUUCUAAUUAUGACAGCUAUAUACCUGGAAUACUAAUGUGUGUAACUGCAUAUGGUUCAUCCCAUUUGAAUAUGAUCUUUCUUGCAGUCUCUUUUCCAAUGCAGCAGACAUGUUAAUCACUAAGGCCCCUAUUCUCCGCCUGUUACAUGGGUUGUGUUUGAUUUCCCAUGUGUACUAGACAAGGACCUCCCUUCAAGUUCUCCCCUGCCUUCCUCCAGCCUACUUUAUAGGACUCUUACACUGGCACAGUCAAGGUACAUAACUAUAAUGACCAGAGUCAUGUACCUUAAAUACUAAGGUGUAUAACUGUUCAUGAUUCAUCCCAUUUGAAUAAGAUCCUACUCUCAGCCCCUUUUGCAAUACAACAGAGAUGCUGAUUAUUAAGGCUCCUGUUGGUCUGUUAUGCGGGCAUUUAUGUUCAUUUGAAUUCCUGUGUAUUCGACAAAGAACCCUCUCAACUCCACCCUGCCCUCUCCCAUCCAUCUUUUCCUUUCUGAGUAGGACUGCCCAGUCCAUAAGACUUAUAUUUGAAUAAUAAAGGUGACCAUUUAUAAUGAUCAUAGUCAUAAACCUUCAAUACUAAUGUACAUAGCUGCACCUGGUUCAUCCUAUUUGAGUAAAAUGCUUCCCUCAGGCAAGCCUUUUGCUGUGCAGCAGUGUUGAUCACUAAUGCCCGUAUUCUUGGCUUAUGUAGUCCUUUAAACUUGUCCAGGUUGUUGUGUACUAUACAAGGAAGCUUGUGCUCUGAUCCGUUUUCCAACUUCAGAGAUGAGUUCCAUAAAACAUUAUACUUAAACCAUCAAAGUGCACAGUUACAAUAACCACAACUAUAUAUAUUGAAAAUUAAUGUGUAUAAUUGCACAUGGUUAAUCUCACUUGAACAAGAUCUUUCUUUCCAGAUGCCUUUUUCAGUAAAGCAAGGAUUCAUUAAUAUAACUGUCCACCCCUAUUUGGCAUAUUAUUUUGAUGAUUAUAUUUGUCUAGGUUUCUGUGUACUAGACAGUGACCCUCUUCCCUUGCUUCCUCUUCCCCUGACUUCUAGCAAGAUGAGGGCUCAGUAACCCUUAGAUUUAAAUAGUCCAGAUGCACAGCUGUAAUGGCCACAACCAUGCAUUUAGGACAUUAAUGUUUAUAACUGCAUGUGGCUCAUUCCAUUUGAGUAGAUAAGAUCUUAUUCUCAAGCCCUUUGCAACAGAGCAGGAAUGCUGUCCCUAAAGCCUCUUUCCUUGUUUUUUGUUUUGUUUUUUUUUUUCAUGUUUUUAGUUACUGGAUAAGGGUACUCUAUCCCCCCCUUUUACUUUUCAAAUGAUAGUGCCCGCUGUUAUAAGAUCAUUAUACUUGUGCAAAAUAUGCAAUUUUAUUUGUCGCAGCUAUGUCUCUGGGACAGUAAUACAUAUCAUCAGGACAUAGUUCAUCUAUGUAGCUAGUACUUCCCUCUUGCCCUUCAUUUGUAGCAUACCAAAGUUUCUUACUUCGAAGUCCCUUUUUUGUGACCUGUUACUUGCAGUUUCAUCAGUCAGGGAGACAAGAACACUCCAUUGCUUGACUUCUGUUUUUUAUAUGAGCAGUGGUGCUUACUUUUUAAGACUUUUACUUUUGGACAAGUAAUGUGCAAUUAUUGCAGUUGUCCACAACUCUGUUAUUUCUAGGACCAUUGUACCUCCUUUGCACUAUUGCAGCGGGUAUAUACAAUUGAAAUCUUCUUUUGUCUUUGUCAGGGAAAUAAUAACCUCCACAUUUUGUUUGGUUUACAGCAUAAUGUUGAUAACCAAAGUCCUGAUUUUAGGCUUUUAAUAUAUAUAAUUGCAUUUGUUCUUGUAUUGUUCACUAGAAAAUGACCCCACCUAUUUUCUUAGUGUUUUCAGCAGAAAGUGCCCACUACUCAAGAGUCUUGCACUUGAAAAAUUCAUGUACAGACACAUUUUCUAAGCAUGUAUUAUAUCAAAACUCUUGUACCUUUGCUUUAAAGCAGAGAGAGAUGCUUUCUUCUAGUAUCUUUUCUGUUGGGCUUCAGUGUGCAUUAUUAAUAUAAUUGUCCCUCCCUUUUUUGGACUAGAAUUUUUAUCUUAUACCCUCUUUGCAUCAAGGGCAUGUUAAUGAUGAGCAAACUUUCUCAUGUGAAUAGUAACAUGCUUAACUACCUUUGAGGAUUUGUGUAGUAAAAAAGGGACAUGUUAGAAUUUCUGCCUCUUGAUGACUGCUAAGGAGUGCUAUUUAUAACUGCUGCCCUUGAACAAUUAGUGUACAACAAUAAGCAACUAUAAUUAUCCUGAGCACUGAUCAUUAGAUAGGAACCUGGGCCCUCUGCAUGCAUCAGAGGUGUUGAUCAAUUAAGACCUCUUGGAUUGUUAGUGUGAAUAUUCUCAGUUACACACGCCUAGGUUACUAUAUCCUUAUUACCCCUCUUUGCUUUACUGUAGGAGCUGCUGACCACCCAAAACAUUUCUUGAGACUGAUAACGGCACAAUGGCAAUUAUUAAUGUAUUUUUUUUCUCCUAAAAUUAUCUUGGGACUGUCAAUAGGUACAAUGGCAAUCAUAAAUUGUUAUUUUUCUUUCCUGGCCCUAUUAAACAAUUCUCUCCAGUUUCCCAUGGCAUUAAUAAAGUACAAACAUUGCAGUAUGCCAUGUACUUAUGCAUUAAACAGUCAUGCAUAGUUUCAUACCCCUUGUUUUGGUAUAUAAAAUCCCAAGUAGCCAUGGUCUCACCAUUUAUACAAGGUCUUCCCUCUCCUGGCCCUUUGUCUGCCUUGUAUUCCUUCUUAUGGACUAUUAUAAAUGCUCAUAAUCUGGCCAUAGAUAUGAUUAUAUCCCUCUCCUUUUCCCUUAAAGCAGCAGAAUACCCUGCCUCUUUUGCCUCUUUGCUGGAUAAUACUGACUGGGCAAGUACCUUUCCCUUGGCCUUACUAAGUUUAAUAAUCCCACAUGUUACUGGUUUACCCACUUGGUAUGGCUGUAAUGUCUCAGCUAUAUCUUCCUUGGUCCUGCCCAUUAUACAUGUAGUUCUCCACUUCUUUAUAUUUCUUCUGAGUAGAGCCAGUUACUCAAAGCCCUUGUGUGUGAUUAGUGAAAAUAGUAUAUAUUGUUCCAUUUUUUUACCCCAUCAGUCCCAGAUCUCCCUAUAAUUUGAUGUGUUGGUGCAGUCUUAAUUAUUAAAAGCAGGCCUGACCUAGGUUGGGUGAGCCUUCACUCUUUAUUCUAUUUGUUAAUUAUCUCAGUUACAAUUAUUGGCAUAUUCUGGGGGCAGGAACGAUUCCUGCUGACCCCUGUUACUGUUUUAUUGUGGAAAAAAUUCAAGUCAAGUGAUGCUUAAAGCACUGGAUUUUGCCACCUUCUAGUUGUGGUUUUCAGGUUUUCAGUAUACAGUAUCAACUGAAAAACUCCCCAAGCAGGAAAAUUAGCACUUUAUCUGCAUUUUUCCUCUCAGAGCAAAUUACCUCCUUAGGAAUCCCAAGUCUUGUCCUUUGUGUGUUGCUGUUGUAUAGUGCUAGUGGCCAGGUUACAACCAGAAAAUUUGCUCUUGUUUUUAUUUUUAGAGAAGGACAUUUGGAAUAAAAAGUGGAAUUGAUUACCUGUUCACUAGCUUUUAUUGGAGCCAAAAAAAAUCUGUUGUCUCAUUUUACUGGGUUAGAUCAAUAUGAAUCUUACUAUCUUAGUAUUGUAUUACUACAGGAAUUCUCGAGUGAAACUUUUAGCACCAGAAUGUUUGUUGGGGCUGUACUACAAUGUAAGAACCGAUUUUUCUUUGGGCUUUACCAUGGUUCACUUUUAGGAAAAUUAUCUCAAUUUUUCAUCCUUAAAUAUCUUCAUAUUCAGCAUUAGUCCUUAAUUCAAGAAGAUUGCUGUAAAUGGAUUAAAUGAGAGAACAUACACUGAGAUGCUUUUAAAAACUAUAAGGCACCUUAUUUGAUUAAUCUAUUAUAUAAAAUGCACCAUUUAAUUCUGCUAAUAAUUUGAAGUAUUUUGCAGAACUAACCUAAAGUAAAGACUUACUCUAAAAUGAUGGGAGCUGUUUCUCCAUUUUAAGACAAAUGAGUCAAGAUCUAAUCAUUCUACUAAGCAUAAACUUUUAACAAGUGUAAUACAUGCUUAGUAAGUAAAAAAGAGAAAGUAUCCCAUCCUCUAAGUGUCUGAGACAGUGAUGGCAAACUUAUGGCACACUUGCCACAGCCUAUUGUUAUCAUUGAAAGCUUUAAAAGGUUCACCAUCACUGCUGUAAGGUAUUUGGUGGCAAUUCAGUAUUUAGAAUGAAACAGAUGAAAUCAAAUAACUGGUCACAACAGACAUUCUUUUAUAGUCAUUGAGAAAAGAUACUAUUCCUCAAGAACAGACACACAACAGACAUUCUUUAUAGUCAUUGAGAAAGAAUACUAUUCCUCAAGAAGGACAUCAAAAGAUCUUCUCAGCUUGGGGUGCAAUUUGCACUACUAGCUACUUGAACAGCUAUAAGAAGAGUUGCUGACUUUUUAGAAUACGGAUGAAUUUGGAGCUGGUUUCUGCACCCUGAUUCAAGAGGAAGGAUGACUUGAUUUUAGGUGAAUUGGUGACUGCUAGAUAGCAUCCUAAGGGUGUUUUGGCUCAUGCCUGUAAUCCUAGCAUGUGGGAGGCUGAAGCAGGAGGAUCUCUGAAUUUGAGGACAGCGUGGGCUACAUAGUGAUCCUACCUAAAAAAAUGAAAAAAAUUCUUUAGGACAUUCUAAGCAUGUGAAACCUGAGGACUAUGGACAGCUAGGCAAGACUCCAAAUUCAGAUUUUUCCUUUUGAGAAUUUGGACAAGAUUCAGCUACUCUUGCAGGCCAUCUGGAGAAACAGAUCUUCUUUGGGAGAAUAGACUUGUUGCUUUGCCGUGCUAGUGACCUAUUCCCUUUGAUGAUCCCUAGGUGGAGAUGGGGCAUGAGGAUCCUCCAGGGGAAAAGCUCACUAUCACUAGGCAAAACCCUAGGUCUGGAGUUUUACUAGUUUUCCUAGACCCAGAUAGAAAGAUGAAGAUGCGAAGACAGCCAGCAUACAUCAAGAUGGGAGAACAUGGACAACAACUGCCACAUCAACAAUACUGAUUUCGUGAGCAAAUCAUUCUUUCACCUGGUCCUCAGUUUCCUUUGAAGCCCUCUUUACAGGAGAACUUUGCCAAUCAUUUAUAAACUUAAGGUUCCUUGUGAUGUCCAUGGGAUAUUACCCACAAUAAGCUGUUUGAAAAGAUAAAUGAGAAUUGUGUCUUUUUAUGUUAUGCCUGCUGAUUAAUGGACGCUUCAUUACUACAAAUGGAAACCUAACCAAACACAGCACACAAUUAUUAUCAGUCAUAAAUGUGUAUUUCUCUGCUUGUCCAUGCCUUCCUUGAAUGUCUUUGUGCUUCUCUACCUUGAGUGUGUCUUCUUACUCAUUUCCAUGUUUGUCUUGUUAAUUUUCUUUGUGUCUUUUUCUCAUUUUGUUCGUAAGUAUGGCCUGUGCCUUGUCUUAGAUGUAUAUAUCUCUUUUUUUUUUUUUCUCAUUUUGUUUGUUUCUCUUUGUUCUCCUGGAUCUGGCUUUUCUUUUACUUACUCUUUUAUGUCUCCUCUUUGGUCACAUGUUGUGUGUUUUUCUUGCACUUUGCUUAUUGUUCAUACCUUGCUUCUUUUUGUCCUUGUGAAUUGUGAUCGUCACUUUCCUCUUUUCUUGGUUUGACAUUUCAGCUUUUUUUCUGAUCCUGUCCUCUUUUCUACUCUUUCUAUUCUUUUUCUCACAUUUUUCUUUUCUGCAUUUCCUUUCUCCUUUUCCUUUUCCUCCUUUGUGUAUCAGUGUCUCAGCUGUUUGUGAUUUUCUAUUUCAGCAUUACUGUCUGAUUGCUUACAUUACUUUUCUGCUUUUUCCUUUUCUCUUUUCUACACUUGAAUAUUUCAGCUUCUUCAUGAUUCUGUGUCUGCUCUUUGCUUUCAUGUAAUCCUCUCUUGGAUAUUGCUUUGUUUUUAUGGCCAUAUGUACAUGUAUGUGUGUGCACUAUGUGUGACAGAGGAGCUCCCUAGCACCUUUCCAAUAGAUGCAGAAUGUUGGCUAUCAAAACAAGAAUUGCAGAGCUGUUCCUCGUGUCAGGCUGUCCGGUAAAGAUGAUCUUACACUAAAAUACGUCCCUCGGAUCAGGACUGAAGUGAAACUCAAAGCCUAAGAGGAGCAAGAGGUAGACGGUUCAAAAUGGAAGACAAAUGGUUGGACAUGAAAAGUCCAUGUUCCAAGACAGGGGGAAGUCACAGGCCUGAGACCAUUAUAAAUCUCAAGAGCCAAGAUACAUAGAAAGUAACCUCAGUUACAUAGAAAGUAACCUCAGUUGGAUGGAAGGUUCAAGUCUUGAGUUAGAAGGCCAGAGAUCUAGGAUAACAAAGGCUCUUUCUGCAGGACAAAUGGAAAGUUUAACAAUUGGGACCUAACACAAGGCCUAAGAACUGAGUCAGCCUAAAUGGCAUGGUUUCAAGACAUAAAAGCCAAGGAUAGAAAACUUGAUACAGAUAAAACCCAGAAAUCAAGCCUCUCUACAUGGACAGAUGGGCUAAGAAAAACAGAUUUCAAGGCUAAAGACUGGAAACUGGAGGACUGUGACUCAGAACUCAGGAAGGAGAAACUCCAAGAACAGGGAAAUUCCAAGAUGAGAACUGUAAAUCCAAGCUGUUUUCUAUUGUUAUACUUCUUACUCUUGGACAAUUUUAGUUUCCCCCUUCCAUUUGUCUUAUUUCCAUCUAAUAUUGCUUCUUUUGAGAUGUGUUUUUUGUUGUUGCCUUAUACCUUAAAAGAAUGUGUCUUUAAAUUAACAGCAUUAUGGAUGACCAAUCUUGAGCCCAUUUUUCAUCACAGAUUUUAGCCAUUCAUUAAGGCUUUAGUGUUUUAUAGACUUCCAUUUCUCUUCACAUAUAUUCAAAUUGAGAAGGGCACCAAAAUCCAGUUGCUAUGGAUUAAGCCUUUUGUUACUUCACUCAAAAGCAAGCAUCCAUUUAAAUAUUUUUCAGUGUUUUCUAUCCUUGAAGCCCUAGCUGAUGAAAGAGUAAAAGCCUCAGGUUGUGUAGGGAAGAAAGUGCCAAGCUAUCUAGAGAUAAUGUGAAGAGAUACUCCAGGAUAAUGAGAACAAUUAGACAAGUAGACAGAUGUUCCAGCCUUCUGAGAAGCACCAGCUGGCUCACCACCCUUCUUUAGGCUUAAGUGAACAGGAUUCCUCUUAAUUUCUAGUAAUGGUUAUGAAAGGGUGAUUGGGCCUUGUACAGAGUGAGAUCUGAAUUCCCUGCUCAUAAUAGUGGUCAAAUAAUUAAGGCAUUGUGCCAAACCUAUGCCUGGGUUUAACACCCAUCUCUAGACUUCAAGAUGAGAGAACCUGAAACUGUUGGGUAACAGGGUUAAUCUUUUCCUUGGUUUCAAGUUGAUUUAGAGAAGUUGAUGUAAAUGAUUGACAAUAUAUAUGAAGUAUAAAUAACAAGAAAAAAAGUAUGGUGUGCUCAUUAAUAUAGUAUUGGCAAUAAGGCACAGCUAAUAUUUGAAUUAGCGAUCAUCACAUUUUGUUCCGUAGGGGGUCAGAGUUUAAAUACUUUAGAUUUUGCAGGCUAUAUGAUCUUUGUUGCAGAGUAUUAAUCUUUUAAAGAGAUAAGAACCGCUUAGUUUCUGAGCUAAGUGGGUUUGGCUGCUACCCAUGCCAGAGAAUCUUUUCAGAUGAUAUAGGUUUCCUUCUUGGUGCCUAUCCCUGUCCAGGUAGUAGGAUGCAGUGACGCUUUAUGAUCAAAUCUAGGUGAUCUGAAGAAAAAUACAUGAGUGUGCUUUAUAAACUAAAACACAUAAAAAACUUGUGAAUUUCAGUGUUGAUGAAUUUAACGACAUACUUUCUACUGUAUUAUGCUCUAUAGAUAUGAAGAUUAAAAGAAGCAUAAAUAAAAAACGAAUAUAAUGCUCUGUAGACAUAAUAAGUGUUCAGUAAGUGAAUAAUUUUGUAUAUUUGAGGCCAAUGUGUUUCUAAUGCUUUGAUGAUUCCAGUUAGCAGAAAAUAAAACAUAUGAAAACUGAUUUAAACUGGAAAAUAUACUGCAAAUAUAAAGCAUUUUAAGCCAUUGUGGUAACUUCUAGUGUGAAAGUUAUCAUGCUAAGCAAUAGAACUACCAAAGUGACAGAUACUCUCCUGGAAAAAAAAAUUUCAGAAGGGAAGCACAUAUUAAAGUACAUAUUGAAUUAAAGCACCAUAGAAAUAAAACUUCCUUACUUGUUUAUGAAUGAAUGAAUAUUAACUACCUCUUAAUACAUACCUACUAUUGUUUGGAUACAUGAAAUUCUAGAUAAAUUCUACCAAGUGAUUCUCCCAUGUAAUAAGAGGAAAGCUCAUGCUCUGUAUUAUUUAGAUAUAAGGAAAGAGAACUUACUGAGUUUAAUCAGUCAGGAAUUUACUGGCAAAAUCAAAUUAAAUUGAUAACCAGUGUAUUUUCCCUGGUGACAGAGAAAAGAUAAGGGAAUAUACAUGUGCUCUAUAUACUGUAAGGUGCUAUGAAAGACAUUUUAAAUAUUUCUGUAUGACUAAAACAUUCCUGUAAUAUAGGCAUUUUUUCUAUAAGAUUCUUAACUGUAUUCUGGACUCACAAUGAGAAGGAUACUAUAAAUAGUUACACCAGCUUCGUGCAUUGGUAUGUACAUCUGGUUCCAGCACUUGAGAGAUUUAGGCAGGAUCACAUGAGUCCAGCCUGGAAAACAUAAUGAGACUAAAACUAAAGACUAAGCAAUACAUAUGUCUUAAGGUUCUGUGAACUUGAAUAUACCAUAUAAAUGUAACUAUUGACUUACUCAUUUGGUGCUAAAUGCUAGGUUUAUGAAAUUGUAUCACAGCUGUUAUAUGAUGCGAAUAAAGCUAAAAUUGUUAAGUUUUAGCUAUUGAACAUUCAAUAUUAAUAUGUAAGUCAUCCAAUAAUGAAUACAAGCAUGGAUGAUUAUCAAUUUUGUGUCAGUGUCCUUGAUAGGCAUUGAGGAUGCAAAGAUAAAUUACGUAUUGUUUCCUGGAAAGCAGUAGAAAUUAUGUGUAAAAAGAAUUUAUAAUUUGUAAACUGCCAUUCAUUUAUAAAUAAUAUCUGGUGAGUAAUAGGGAUUAUUUACUGUUAUCCCUAGAGGUAGUAACUAAAAGCACUAAAAUUGAUUUUUGUCUUUAAACCUGCAACACAGGUCUGUGUGUAAAUAUACAAUUUGGCAUUAACUGUCGGUUUAAUCAGUGAACAUGAUUUCUGUCUGUGAGAUACAGAACUGCAUACCUUGGGAUAUAAAAAUGAUUUUAUUAUUACCAUCCUUUUAUUAUCCAUUUUAUUAUUAUCAUCCUGUGGGUACAGAGUACUCACAAGAGAGAAAUUCAGUAGUAGAUAUGAGAUCCAGACCAAAAGUCCACUUCACCACUCCUUCCUUACUCAGUGAUGAAGUCAGGAAGAAAGUAGAAUUGAUGAAAUGGAAAGGUGAUAAAUUCUAAGCUAAGUGGAGGAAUAAAAUUUUUUCUAGAUUAUUUACCAUCUGACUUGAUUGAGAAAGUGGAUUUAAAAUACAAAAUCAAGAUGUUAUGAUUUUCCAUUCAGUUUCUUAUUGAGUGCUGCUGAUCAAGGUGAAUUAAAACCCCCUUGGCCUGGCUUAGAGAGCUUUAUGAAGUGGUAAUCAUUUUAAUUUAUUUGAUAUACAAAGCUUUGUUUAUGUGGGAUAUGCCUUCUAGGUCCUAACUAUAAAUUAGGUGAAAUGGACCUAAUAGAGGGAAUAAGAUCAUUGAUCAUAGCUGAAGGCAGUAAACACCUUUAAUUUGAUUAAAUAAUAUUUGGCUCUUCAAAGUAGCUUGAUAAAUUAAGUAGGUUUGUUCCAGAGGACCCAUUGACUUGGAUAUUGAAAAUCAAAAAAGGCAAUAUUCAUUCAAUACAAAAUGGAGGCACUUUUUAUAGCUCCAGAAAACCACAAGAAGCACUUACUGUCCUAAAGUUAAAAGGUUUGAGGAGAAUCAAGAUGAAACAACUGGUUUUGGAAUGCUUUUGCUCAUUCUGUGACUCAGAUUCAGGACAACACUUGAGCAGUAAAAAAUGUAUUCAGUUACCAUGUUUAGUUUUUUAAAAUUUUAUUAAAUCUUAGUGCUAUUACUAGAUGCUGAGGAGAAUGAACAAAUUUUAAAACCAAAACCAAAGUACAGUUUAUCUCUGUAGCUUAAUGAUGGGAAUAUGACACAGUGAAAAAUGACAAUUCUUAGUUGAAAAAGUAUUAAACAACUAUAAUAUGUAAGACACGGGUAUGAUGAGAUAGACCACCUUGUUGGCAUGUUUGGUAUAAUGGGAGUCAGAGGAGUUUCUAUUUUCAUUCAUAGAAGUAUUGCUAAGAUGAUGCUAAGUACUAAAUGAAAUUAUUCAAAGAGCCACCUGGUCUGACUUAGAGAGGGACUAAAAAAGCACCAUCUAUAAUGUAAAGCCAGUGUAUUAUUCCUGGACAGAAAAUAAAGAUCCUGACUAUCACUUGUUUAUUGGCUCAGGGAUUAAGACUAUAGGAUGAACAUGACCAAUGAUUUAUUUAUUCAUCCAUUCUACAAGUGUAUUUGGGUAUCUAUUGAAUAUAAGAUUCUUAGAUCCUUUCCUGGCCCCAGAGACAAGAGAAAAGUUCCAUGCCUUCACAGAGAACUUCCAAAACUUUCCUCUUUGUGAGGUUUUCUGGUUAUGAUAACAGCUUGGUCCCUAAAUAGUGCUGUGUAAUUUAGUUCCUACUUAUAUCUUCUAUUCUGGCCACUAUGAUGAGCAGGUUGCUGACUUUAGAGGUGAACUUGUUCCUUAAGUUGCUGGAACCAUUAAUAUAGUAGAAAAGUUUUUGCUAGUCUUCACCUCAUGUAAAAUUAUUGACUAAUGAUGGCAAGAAACAUGAUGGCCAACUAGUUCUCAAACCCCAGUCUCUGGAAAUGACCCAUUCUUGAGCUGGUUAUGAAGUGCAUUUAAAAAAAAUCAUUUACAAGUUUUGUCUGUUUUUAGUUCUUUUUUAUAGACUGGUGCGUGUACAUCACCUCAGUAGGCUUUUCCCAGAAAUAAUGCUCAGAUGGCACAUAAGUAGAUUUGAGAUAGAGGCAUGGUUUCUCUUACAACAGCUCAAUUUGUACUUUAGAAAUGUUCUUGCAGGGCCGGAGAUUUAUCUCAGCGGCAUAAGUACCUGCUUGGCAAACACUCCGGUACCAAAAUACAAAAAAGUUCUGGCCAUUAAAAUAUACUUAAGGGCUUGUUAUGGUAAAAUAUUAUCAGUGGAUGAAAAUAGCUGAAACAUUUACUAAGCUUGCUUAAAAUUUAUAGUAAAAUAAAAAUUGGAAAUAAGUGACAAAAAUUCGAGGAAAAAUGCCCUCUAAAUGCGUGCUUGACUGGGCUUUGAUCUUUUCUAUUUUGCAAUCACUCACAGAGGGUGGGGCAGGAGGAAGAGUGAAGGAAAAGGUCAAACCUCUGCCAGGGCAAACUUCAUUUUUUCUGGAUUGGUGUGAAGAGUAUUACUAGCUCAAGGUCUAAAUUGAGAUUGCUUUUCUAAGUUGAAUGCAGUUCAAAAACUGAUCAUUGUUGACAUGAGGAACUGACCUGUUACAUUCAUCUAAGAAAUAAUUUUGUUCAAAUGGUUGCCACCUAAGCCUUGGGUUAGAUAAGAAUGUCUUAAUUGAAUCAGUGUGACCCUUCUAUCAUAAGGUAGUCUUAAAAAUCAGAAUUUUACUCCAAAAUAAGAGGACCUUAUUGUUCACUGUUGGUCAUACAUACAUUGAAAUUGUCUAAACUGUAGUUUGCACGGCAAGCCAAGAAUGGCAUCUAUAAAUGGAGAAGGAAAUAGAUAAAUGGCAAAGGGUAGCUGGUGGACAAAGUUGAAAAAGGUCUGGGGGUGAAAUUUUCUAGUGGUGUUGUCAUCUGGGCCCAGGCACAUUCCUUUCUUUAACUGGGGUGGUGAUUUCCUGACUGACUGGAAAAUAAAAAUGAGAAACUAACUGAACCUUCCUUUCAACAGUUUCUGCAACUAUUGAUUAAGAAUGAAAGAAUGUGCACUCAACACCAGCUUUUGUCAUGUUAAACUGGGAACAAGUCAGUUGUAGAGGAAAUGACUUUGCAUCUUCCUUUCUACCUCAAAGAAAAUCUACAUCAAAAUGCUAGAAUUCAAAACGUUUUGGACUUGCAAACUAAUGUAUAAUACAGACUGUUGAGUACUGCCUGUUUGCAAGCUUUGAAAAUCUUGCUUGGCAUAAAUGCCCAUCAAAAAGGAAUGUAAAGUUACUUACUUACCACAUCUAGAUAAAUUUGGGAGUUUGUUUUUCAGUGUAAAAUAAAAUAUUUUGUUUUGAAAA